rnacentral:rRNA from 1 species
GACGAACGCUGGCGGCGUGCUUAACACAUGCAAGUCGAACGGAAAGGCCCUGCUUUUGUGGGGUGCUCGAGUGGCGAACGGGUGAGUAACACGUGAGUAACCUGCCCUUGACUGUGGGAUAACUUCAGGAAACUGGGGCUAAUACCGGAUAGGAUCUCCUGCUGCAUGGUGGGGGUUGGAAAGUUUCGGCGGUUGGGGAUGGACUCGCGGCUUAUCAGCUUGUUGGUGGGGUAGUGGCUUACCAAGGCUUUGACGGGUAGCCGGCCUGAGAGGGUGACCGGCCACAUUGGGACUGAGAUACGGCCCAGACUCCUACGGGAGGCAGCAGUGGGGAAUAUUGCACAAUGGGCGGAAGCCUGAUGCAGCAACGCCGCGUGCGGGAUGACGGCCUUCGGGUUGUAAACCGCUUUCGCCUGUGACGAAGCGUGAGUGACGGUAAUGGGUAAAGAAGCACCGGCUAACUACGUG